UACGGGAGGCAGCAGUGGGGAAUAUUGCACAAUGGGCGCAAGCCUGAUGCAGCCAUGCCGCGUGUAUGAAGAAGGCCUUCGGGUUGUAAAGUACUUUCAGCAGUGAGGAAGGUGGGUAUGUUAAUAGCAUAUUCAUUUGACGUUAGCUGCAGAAGAAGCACCGGCUAACUCCGUGCCAGCAGCCGCGGUAAUACGGAGGGUGCGAGCGUUAAUCGGAAUUACUGGGCGUAAAGCGCAUGCAGGUGGUUUGUUAAGUCAGAUGUGAAAGCCCGGGGCUCAACCUCGGAAUUGCAUUUGAAACUGGCAAACUAGAGUACUGUAGAGGGGGUAGAAUUUCAGGUGUAGCGGUGAAAUGCGUAGAGAUCUGAAGGAAUACCGGUGGCGAAGGCGGCCCCCUGGACAGAUACUGACACUCAGAUGCGAAAGCGUGGGGAGCAAACAGAAUUAGAUACCCUGGUAG
rnacentral:rRNA from 1 species